CAAGUCAUUUAACGGAACAUUUAAAUUUGACAAAUAUAGUGAUUUGAUUUAUAUUGUGAUAUAUAUCGAUAUGGCCAGAAAUGAAAAAAAUAUAUUGUGAAAUGAAAAAAUCCUAUAUCGCCCAGCUCUAAUCUAUCAGCUCCUUUGAUCCAUUUGAUUUGUCUUAUAGGUUUUAUGUUGGAUGCCCUUCCUGACACUACCCUCUGCAUUUACCCGGGCUUGGGACCGGCACAAAUAGGACACUGGCUUGUGCCCUGUUGAGGCUGCAUUUAUCUUUUUUUUUUAUUUAUUUUUUUUAUCUGUCUGUCUGUCUGUCUGUUUGUCUUCCUGUCUGUCUUGUCUGUCCUUUCGUUAUUUAUUUCAAUCUUUUUUAUUUCUUUUUUGGGUUUUUUUUGUUUUCAUUUCUUUAGCUCUGUACACAGCAUGGCUUAUAUCAGUCAUUAUAGCAUCAGUCGUCUGCUUUUCUGUGCAAAAGUCCUAACAAAUGCGUCCAUACCUAGACCUGUUGUUAUAGCCUUCUCGUGAGCCAGAAUAACUAAAUUUCUUUUUCUCUCAUGUAGCAUAGUGCGGCGGAAGGGGGUAAGAACACGAGACAAAGUGGAGAAAGAGCUCUCGCAUGAUGCAGAUGAUAUUCCAAUCACAAAGGACUUAACAUGGCAACAUCCAGAAAAGAGGGAGAUUGUGGUUGAAGGCAAUUAACUGCUUUCAUGAGAUCCAGAUUGCUUUUGGAGAAUCUUGUCUCCAUCUCUACAAUGGCGAUGUCCAAAAUGUUGAGAAGAGCUCUCUUCAGAGCCUGGCUAGGAGUCAUGGAGUCUUCUGCAUGGCCUACAGUGGACGUAACAACGCUACCUACGAGCAAGCCUGCAGAGAUGCACUGACUACUUCUGAAGCACAGCACCGGUCAACAGAAUGAGCCUGCAGCAUAGCAUUUGCAGACUUCAAGGAACCCAGAACUUUGAGGAGGAAUUUUCCUAUUUCAAAGAAAUGAUGCCUCCUUAACAUCAUCAACAGCCCUGAUGCCUCUGUACAGAUAUCAACAGCAGUGGCUCUGUCCUCUGUAACCUCUGACAGGAUACUCAGAAUAGCAUCCUGAUUCUCCACAAGACACUUGGUCACAUCAUGGUGGCUUGUCCACCUGAUCUCCAACAGUCGUUUAAGGGAGGGAACAUUAUAGUUCUGUGACACAUAA